CCUCUCACUCUCUCUCUUGCCCCAGCCACCCCGCUCCCCCCUUGCUUUCCAGUAGCGGAUCUUGCCGCCGCCGCCGCUCGCUCCAUUCCCCUCACCCCGCCACACCCUCCUUCUUCCCUGGACAUGUAAGCGUGAGCAGCAGCACGAGGAACACGAUGGCAUCCGCCGAAGACCAGGCCGCGGCGCUGCUGGUCGGCGACCCGGCGGCGUUCGACGCGCUGCUCUCCACGCUCAUGUCGGCCUCCAACGCCGAUCGCGCCGCCACCGAGGUUGCCUUCCACCGCCUCUGCGGCUCCCACCUGGAGCCCCUCGCGCUGCGCCUCGCCCCCUCGCUCGCCGCGCCGUCCACACCCACCGAGCUCCACGCCAUAGCCGCCACCCUCCUCCGCAAGCUCCUCUCCCCGACGGCCUCCUCCGACUCCUCCGUUGCCGCGCCGCCCCCGCUCUGCCCCCUGCUCUCCCUUGACGGCCAGGGCACGCUCAAGGCCCACCUCCUCGCCGCGCUCUAAUCCGACCCCCCCAAGCCCAUCGCCAAGAAGGUUUGCAAUGCCAUAUACGAGCUCGCCACGCUCCUCCUCUCGGAGAACACCUGGGCCGAGCUGCUGUCGUUCCUCUUUCGUGCGGCCUCCACCCCCGAGGCGCCCAACCUGCAGGAGUCCGUGCUGCUCAUCUUCGCACGCCUCACGGAUUACAUCACCGAAUAUCUUCUCGACCAUUUGAAGACCAUCCACAACCUUCUAGCAUCUGCCCUGGCGCACCGACCUCGCCUGAUGUUCGCAUCGCCGCACUGAGCACUACCGUUAAUCUUGUUCAAUGCCUGCCCACUAAUGCAGCAGAGAUAAGAUGCAGGACUUGCUGCCUGCAAUGAUGAGGGCACUCAUGAAUUGCCUGAAUUCGUCCCAGGAGGCAUCUGCACAGGAGGCACUGAGGAGCGCCAGCCGCCGAGACCGUCCACGUAGUCAUUGUCGUCGUCCUCACACCGGCAGAUCCUCUAGAGCGCCUCCUUCGAGGAGCUCCCACCUACCCACCGCGCACGCUGACGCAUCCUGCUCCUCGGGUGAGAGCUUUCCCCUGCGACCUCGGUUCCCUGUCUCUGCUUCUCCACUGCGGCAACAUCCUCGUCAUCUAUAUCGGUCGACCGACUGCAGUGUACUACUAGCGGUGAGAUUCAGAAGGAGGAGGCAAACAGGGAGACGAGGUCAAUUUAUGUGCACAUGAAGGAGAGUGGUGGCAAUGAAGAUGAGCAUGUGGGAACGCAGCGUCAUCGGCGUCCAUGUUGCGACCGGCCUCAACAUCAAGAAGGCGUCACACUAAGCUGUCUAUACAUCAUCCCCACCACCCCAGGUAUACGAGAUGCUUUUUUAUCCCUACUGAUGGUCGAUGGUUCAUUAGGCUGGUCCACACCAGGAGCACCGGUUUAGCAGAGCUGAUAGUUAUUGGUUUAGCAAAUGAUGAUUUGACUAUAAUGUGGUUAUGCUAUGUUUAGAUAGAAAUAUUUAGUGAGAUGUUUGUUCAUCAGAUCGGUGUUUGCUUCAGCAUGUGUUCAGACUAUGCUUUGUCUGAUCAUUUUGAUUUGGGUGCUGGCAUUAGUAUGGGUGGGAAGGCUCAUAUAGCAACCGGAAGAAAGGGUGAUCCAUGCUCUUUGAUUUGCUCUCAACUUGGUAUUGAACUGACUGUACUAAAAGGUGUUUGCCCUCUCUAUGAUAUAGUAACUGGAAACAAGCGUGCCCCCCCCCCCCCCCCCCCCCUCCAUCUCAAGGAAACAUAGCAAAUAAAAAAUACAUUGACAUGUUUUUCUCAUUGUCAACAAAAAUGUUGAGUUUCUGUUUUUUUUAUGAAUUUUGUAUAGAUCGGUUGCAUAUGUACUUCAAUGUUGGUGCAUGUGUUCUGCUCUAGGCUCAGAUUGUUUGCUUGAAACUCUGCACAAUACACAUAUUGGAUUUCCUUUGCUUUUGUUGUACAAUGUAUUUACCUAAAAAUUGUUGCUGUGGGUUUGUAAAAAUUCAAGCUGCGUCAUUGCUACAUUUGGACUCCAUGGGAUUUGAUGAGCUUGUUGCUCUUCUGAAAGGUAUCACGUUAUUCAAAGUGAGGUGCAUAUAUAGAUAGCAUUGAUUUUUUCUCAAUCGACGUUUUUUUUAUUAUGGAUAGGGUAUAAAUGCAUGAUUAGCAACUUUUGUUGUUACUUUCCAUGUUUUCCAUAUAUCUAUUGCAGUCCAUAUUGUGAUGCCAAACAUGAGUGGCGGGCGGGAGUGCCAAGGGUGGCGGGAGACCUGGCAUCUACCUAGCUUCAGAACAUGUGCCAGCAGAUUAAUGUGAGCAAAGGAUUACUCGAGUAUGGAUGAUCAGUUAACAUACAACACAUGAUUGGUUAUAUAUACUUUGGCAAUGUUACCUGUGGAAAUAGGAAUGAUUUUCUGAUUGUAUGGAAAGAACAAUCAAUUUCCCGGUGAAUCUUACAUUGUCACAAGGUGAUACAGAAUGUGAGAUCAUUGAUGGGCAUGUCUGACAAUUUCUUAUGACGGAAACAUAUCUGGUGCUUUUCUUGAUGGGCAUGGUCCGGAAUUGCCCUUGCAUAGUUGUUUGGUUCAGGUAUAUAAACUAGAAUAAAACUAAACUGUAAUAAUUUUAGGAUCAUGAUUGAGUAGUCACAUGAAAACUGUCGAGUAAAAUCGAUGUUUACAUACAUGGAUUCUAUGAAUCUGCGUAGAACUAAAUCAUAGGUUGGUAGAGAUUCCAACCGGAAGUUAUUAUCCAUAAAAUAUUUAUAUGAAUUUAUGUUUUGCUUCGUCUCCCUGUGGAAAUGACUGCUACAAGGUAGGAGUUGAAGUAUAAUAAAUUAGGGGGCUAGAGAAAUCGGUCUGAAGCCACUGAUAUCCUCACAAAUUUAAUGGAUUCUCCUGUUAUUAUUUUCUUAUAGUUGUAUUUUGAGCAUAAGCAUCUCUAGCUGAGCUGCUCUUUCAAGCCUAAUCCAAAAUUAAGGAUUAUUGAUGUACUAAAAAAAUAGUCUAAGAAAUAGAAAAUUCCUUUGUUGAUAAGAAAUUGUAGUGGGAUAUCCUGUCUAAAUGUACAGCUGACCAGAUAUCCUGUUAUUAUUUUCUUAUAGUUGCAACUUUUAGCAAUGCUUGUUGAUGUUAUGCAAAUGACGUUGUGUCUGAUAUCAAGGCAGUAUAUGAAGAUAAACAGUGCCCAGUUUUUGCAUGGUUGUAACUUCCAGAACAGGUUAUGCUUUUGAGUUUCCCCAUCAUUCGAGCUUUUGGCGCUUGAUUUCAUUUGUGAUUUGGAAAUUUACAUGCUUUUUGUGCCGAGAUUUGGAUUUUGACAACAUCAAUCUAAUAGUCAACUAUAUAGUGGAUGAGAAUAUGUGGCUCUCGGGUGCCACACACCCGUGUAUGAAUAUAGUAUUAAAAAAUACCAGGAAAUUUAAAAAGUAUAUGGAAGUUUGGGAUAUCAAACCUGGGUGGCAAUUGUACACCGGUGUUCAGUUUCGUGCGGAAUGGGUGCCGGUGGUGUUCUCGGUAAAAAAAGUCAAAAAGAUUCUAUGAAUAAAAAAACUGUUUGGAUGGAUCCUAUGGCCGAUCGUAUUUUUUUAACCAUGGAUACCACGGGCACCCAUUCCCCAUGAAACUAAAUACGGGUGUACAAUGGGCACCCAGGUUUGAUAUCCUAAAGUUACAGAUUUUAUUGAAAUUUCCUGGUAUAUUUUUAUUACUAUAUUCAUAUAGAGGUGUGUGGCACCCGAGAGCUCCCAUACAUUUCCCAGUAUAUAGUUUACUACUAUGCCAUAUAAAAGCAUUGUAAAUAACUCUCUGAGACUAUCACUAUGGCCUGCUCAUGGUAUAUUGUACUGCAUCGUGAUGCUUUAUGUAUUUAAUGCUACAUUUUCUAACAAACACACCAAUGACAAGUAAUGAAACUCAUGAUCUGUACUGGACUGUUACUGCUACAUGCAUCUACUAUCUCCUAUUAUUUGAGUGGAUGUUGGAUUGUUAGACUUCUUUUAUGGAUCAUCAAACUUCUUUUAUCGGUCUGCCCCCUUGACCGCGACAAAGGAAGGGCCUCAUUCAGAGAGCAACGACGAUAGCACUCCAGCAGCUAAAAGUGUCAACGAAUUAGAGGAUAGCCUCACGAAAACUGUCGGCUCGCUGUCACCAAAGGAAUAAACAUCAAACGAUGAAACAGACCACAUGCCCAGCAAAAAAAUAAAGUCUCAGCCUAAUACCCGCAGGGCUUUAGUCUCUAAAGACUAAAUGCACAAAUUGCAUGAUACAUUGAUGGGGAUGACAUUCCAAAAGGCGGGCGUAGUGAACGUGUUGAAGGAGUUGUAGCCUAUGUCUCUGCCUCAAAUGUCGAUGAUGCCUCUUUGUGCUAUCACUCCCAUGUCCUUUUUAUUUUGUUUGUUCGGUGAAUGUUGGAUUAGACAAGAAGGAUUUAUUCACGCUGGAUUUGCACAACUAUGAACUAUUUGUGCAAUCUUUUAUUUAAGCUUUGAAACAAGAAAAAUAAAUGUUGGGUUUGAGCAAUGGUGUUUCAUGUUUUUCGUUGGUGCUGGAUUAUUGAUAUGAAUUUCCACAAGUAGAA